rnacentral:rRNA from 1 species
GCUCCAAUAGCGUAUAUUAAAGUUGUUGCAGUUAAAAAGCUCGUAGUUGGAUUUGUGGCUUUCUUGAGUGGCCUGGCACCUAGUGCUAGUGUUUGCUUGAGUCGCCAUCCUUGGGUGGAACUUGUGUGGCAUUAGGUUGUCGUGCAAGGGAUGCCAUCCUUUACUGUGAAAAAAUUAGAGUGUUCAAAGCAGGCUUAUGC